UGGUUCUGGCAUCGAUGAAGAACGCAGCGAAAUGCGAUAAGUAAUGUGAAUUGCAGAAUUCAACGAAUCAUCGAAUCUUUGAACGCAUAUUGCGCCCAUUGGUAUUCCGAUGGGCAUGCCUGUUCGAGCGUCAUUUCAACCCUCAAGUACACUAUUGCUUGGCGUUGGGGCUUCUAUAGCGUAUCGCUCUAGGCCCUGAAAAAAGUUGGCGGAAUUUUUAUAGAACCGAACGUAGUAAUUACUUCUCGUUUUAGGAGACAUAAGAAUUCUUUAGCCGUUAAACUCCUUUUUUUUUUUAAGUUGACCUCGGAUCAGGUAGGAAUACCCGCUGA
rnacentral:misc_RNA from 1 species